GCCCAAAUGCACACCACAUGAGAGGCGAAGCCAGAUCGUUCUUCUCGCACGUUCAGAAAGGAAACUUCUCCUUUAAUCCUAUGUGGCCGAAGAAGAACUCCCUCCGCCGCGCCGGAAAUCAUUCCGAGGGCCGCGGAUCCUCGAAUCACAAAAUCUAACCCUCGUUCCCUUCAUCUCUCUAAGCUCUAUUUAAAUCCAUCCCCAAUUUCCUCUGAUUCACACUAUAAAACCCUAACCGAAUCAACCUGUGUAUGAACCCUAAGUUAGAAAUCAAGCGAUUAAAUACUAAGGAGAGGUAAUUGAAGCCAACAAUGUUAGGGCUUUAAUCCCUGGGAAUAGGAACUACAUCGCGGUGAUGAUUUGAGCGGUGAAGAUUGGAGAAAGGCGAAGGUUGAAGCAUGGAUUCCAGCAGAAGGUUGAAGAAGGUGCAACCCUUAAUCGAUGCCGGUGGGAUGCAUUUUCCAGUUGGAUUGAUUGUGCGUGGGAAUUGAUUCUCUAGAAGGAAGUGGAUUGACGAGUAUAGAGAGGCUGCUUGCACGUCCGAGGAUGAUAAUGGAAAGGUGAAGAAGGAAUUGGAGUUUCAGAGUAGACUAUGUGAAUCAAUGCACUCAGUGUAGCAGAAUCUUCAACAACACCCUUCCAUAGAAAUUUAAAUUGCAAUAGCCUCUUUAAUUUGUAAUAACUCAUUGGUUUAUAAAGUAUUUUAAGUGUAGUAGCAUGUUAGUAGAUCUCUAAGUUGAGAUGGAUAUGAAUUACAUAGGUGUAGACAUUUGAUCUAAUUAUGGAUUAUAAUUGUAAUCAUGAGGAAAAAAAAUGAAUGUAAAAACAUAUGAAUGCAAUAUGCAUUAAUUGGAAAUUA